UCCAUUAAGUGGCGGCUAAUAGAAAGUCAACAAAAGAGCUCUGACAUGUGUAGUGGGCACUUCUGGCAGGCCAGGUUUGGGAGCACAGGUGUCUGAUGGGCUCCUGCCAAAGACCGGCAUACAAGACAUUGGGAGUUUUUCUUCAAGAGCAAACCGAGCUGCCCACCUUUUAAGACUGUCUCUUCUGCAACCAAAGAGACACUAUUAUGCUCAAAGCUAUAAAAUACCCUUCCUUUGUUACAGCUCCAGGAAGCUGCUGCUAGAGAUUAUUUGAACUACUAUAAACAACUCCAUUAAAGCUUCUGAGCUCACCAAUGACUCUUGUAAGGUCCUGGAUAAAAAGAUCAUUUUUUUUUCUCCUUUUUUGAGAAAAGGAAAGAGAGAGAGAGAGUCUGGCAAAAAUAUUGCAAGCUUCUAAUAAUAAAAUGACCUACAAAACCUGAAGGACAAAGCAUCCCUGAAUUGCUCAGGAAUGCAAAUUCUUUAAACAACAGCCACCACUGGAGAUUACGAAGCCUGGAGAUGCUGAGGUUCAGAAUCAAACCACCGUAGUCUUCAUCUCUUCAUUUAGAAAAGGGGCUUUUGAGGAUCAUGUCAAGUUGGAGUUCCAAUGUGAAAGAAAAGGACAAAGGUUGGAUCCCAUUUGGCACAUUUAUGGACACAAGAAAUUUGGGGGGCACUUGGAUUUGCACACACCAUCCCUUUUGAUGCCUACAUUCUGCAAGCACCUCCAUGUACAUUUUUUUACUGUGAUGUGAAAAAGAACACUUUUGUAAAUGGGAAGCAAUACUGCUGGCAUGAUACUUGACAGCAUCUGCUAAUCCAAAAGCAUUAAUGAAGUCAUUCAAAAUGCUCUCUCCCUUCCUAAUUCUCUCUUAAGCACACUUUCCAAGCUGCUUCAAGUUAUUGGUGUUA